UGAACGCUAGCUACAGGCUUAACACAUGCAAGUCGAGGGGCAGCAUGGUCUUAGCUUGCUAAGGCCGAUGGCGACCGGCGCACGGGUGAGUAACACGUAUCCAACCUGCCGUCUACUCUUGGACAGCCUUCUGAAAGGAAGAUUAAUACAAGAUGGCAUCAUGAGUUCACAUGUUCACAUGAUUAAAGGUAUUCCGGUAGACGAUGGGGAUGCGUUCCAUUAGAUAGUAGGCGGGGUAACGGCCCACCUAGUCUUCGAUGGAUAGGGGUUCUGAGAGGAAGGUCCCCCACAUUGGAACUGAGACACGGUCCAAACUCCUACGGGAGGCAGCAGUGAGGAAUAUUGGUCAAUGGGCGAGAGCCUGAACCAGCCAAGUAGCGUGAAGGAUGACUGCCCUAUGGGUUGUAAACUUCUUUUAUAAAGGAAUAAAGUCGGGUAUGUAUACCCGUUUGCAUGUACUUUAUGAAUAAGGAUCGGCUAACUCCGUG
rnacentral:rRNA from 1 species